rnacentral:rRNA from 1 species
GGGUAACGGCCCACCAAGGCGACGAUCAGUAGCCGGCCUGAGAGGGUGAACGGCCACAUUGGGACUGAGACACGGCCCAGACUCCUACGGGAGGCAGCAGUGGGGAAUAUUGCACAAUGGGGGAAACCCUGAUGCAGCGACGCCGCGUGAAGGAAGAAGUAUCUCGGUAUGUAAACUUCUAUCAGCAGGGAAGAAAAUGACGGUACCUGACUAAGAAGCCCCGGCUAACUACGUGCCAGCAGCCGCGGUAAUACGUAGGGGGCAAGCGUUAUCCGGAUUUACUGGGUGUAAAGGGAGCGUAGACGGAAGAGCAAGUCUGAUGUGAAAGGCUGGGGCUUAACCCCAGGACUGCAUUGGAAACUGUUUUUCUAGAGUGCCGGAGAGGUAAGCGGAAUUCCUAGUGUAGCGGUGAAAUGCGUAGAUAUUAGGAGGAACACCAGUGGCGAAGGCGGCUUACUGGACGGUAACUGACG